GCCCGGGGUAGCUCAGUUGGUACAACAUGAGACUCUUAAUCUCAGGAUGGUGGGUUCAAGACCCACAUUGGGCA